rnacentral:rRNA from 1 species
CACGUAGGGUGCGAGCGUUGUCCGGAAUUAUUGGGCGUAAAGAGCUCGUAGGCGGUGUGUCGCGUCGGCCGUGAAAACCUGCAGCUUAACUGUGGGCGUGCGGUCGAUACGGGCAUCACUGGAGUUCGGCAGGGGAGACUGGAAUUCCUGAUGUAGCGGUGAAAUGCGCAGAUAUCAGGAGGAACACCGGUGGCGAAGGCGGGUCUCUGGGCCGAUACUGACGCUGAGGCGCGAAAGCGUGGGGAGCGAACAGG